GCUCCUCGCGCCAUCAGACUCCUACGGAGGGCAGCAGUUGGGAAUCUUGGACAAUGGGGGAAACCCUGGAUCCAGCCAUGCCGCGUGAGUGAUGAAGGCCUUCGGGUUGUAAACUCUUUCGACGGGGACGAGUAAUGACGGUACCCGUACGAACGAAGCUCCGGCUAACUUCGUGCCAGCAGCCGCGGUAAUUC
rnacentral:rRNA from 1 species